GUAAAGCGCUCGCAGGCGGUCUUUUAAGUCUGAUGUGAAAGCCCACGGCUUAACCGUGGAGGGUCAUUGGAAACUGGAGGACUUGAGUGCAGAAGAGGAGAGUGGAAUUCCAUGUGUAGCGGUGAAAUCCGUAGAGAUAUGGAGGAACACCAGUGGCGAAGGCGACUCUCUGGUCUGUAACUGACGCUGAGGGGCGAAAGCGUGGGUAGCGAACAGGAUUAGAUACCCUGGUAGUCCACGCCGUAAACGAUGAGUGCUAGGUGUUAGGGGGUUUCCGCCCCUUAGUGCUGAAGUUAACGCAUUAAGCACUCCGCCUGGGGAGUACGGCCGCAAGGCUGAAACUCAAAAGAAUCGACGGGGACCCGCACAAGCGGUGGAGCAUGUGGUUUAAUUCGAAGCAACGCGAAGAACCUUACCAGGUCUUGACAUCCUUUCGACCUCCCUAGAGAUAGGGAUUUCCCUUCGGGGACGAAAGUGACAGGUGGUGCAUGGUUGUCGUCAGCUCGUGUCGUGAGAUGUUGGGUUAAGUCCCGCAACGAGCGCAACCCUUGAUCUUAGUUGCCAGCAUUAAGUUGGGCACUCUAAGGUGACUGCCGGUGACAAACCGGAGGAAGGUGGGGAUGACGUCAAAUCAUCAUGCCCCUUAUGACCUGGGCUACACACGUGCUACAAUGGAUGGUACAAAGGGCAGCGAAACCGUGAGGUCAAGCAAAUCCCAUAAAACCAUUCUCAGUUCGGAUUGUAGGCUGCAACUCGCCUACAUGAAGCCGGAAUCGCUAGUAAUCGCGG
rnacentral:rRNA from 1 species